rnacentral:lncRNA from 1 species
AGGUUGUUCAGGAGGGACACCUGGCUGUCACGGCGCUUCACGCUUGGUGCCUGCCACCCCGCGAACUGCCCGCACUAUGGCCGCCCCGCCGCAGCUGCGGACUCUGCUCCUUGCGGUCAACGCACUCUUGCGCAAGCGCCGCUACCACGCUGCGUUGGCCAUGAUUAAGGGCUUCCGGAACGGAGCAGUCUACGGAGUCAAAAUCCGGGCCCCUCAUGCCCUGGUCAUGACCUUUCUCUUCCGGAGUGGCAGAUCAACAUGUACCUGUUAUCUCGCCUCCUGUUUGCCCUGUGCCGCCUGGGUUUGGACAAGGGCUACCUCCCCGAGCCCAGAUGGGACCCGUACCCACUGUUCUCGGGUUUGGUGUGGGGGCUGGUGCUGUGGCUCUUUGAGUACCACCGGCCCACCCUGCAGCCCUCGCUGCAGUCCUCCAUGACCUACCUGUACGAGGACAGCAACACGUGGCACGACCUCUCAGACUUCCUCCUCUACAACAAGAAGAAAUAACUCGGCCCAAAGUGCUUUUGGGGACUCUGGCGCUUGCCAGCCAUGGCUGCAGAUUGGCUCCAUCAGCGAAUCCCCCAGAAGAUCCUGCCUGUUCAAGAUCUGAGGUCUCAGACUCUAGCUUUUCUCAGCCUGGGGUCCCGCUGGCCAAAGUGAAAACACUGAUCUUCAAGUCCCAGUAGGUACUCUUGAAUGGUAGAAUAAGCCACCGAAUCAGGCCGCCGAGCCUUGGCCACGGGGACAGCCGUGCUGCUGACCCUGUGAGACCCGGGCCCCAGGGGUCAUCGAGCUCAGAGGAGGGCGCUGAAGUCUGUUUCUGGUGGGUAUGUUCUUCGGCCGUUCUUCUGUAACCGAGGGCUCUGGCUGGUGGGUGGUUGGUUGCAAAUGUGUUUUUAGAAAAUCCUCAGUUCCUUGUCUUAGAUGUUCUGUUGGAGAAGCUCUAGAGUUUCCACUGUCCAGUAGAAACAUGAUGUGAGUCAUAUAUGUGAUUGACAUUUUUUUAGUAGCCACAUUUUUUUAAAAAGUAGAAAGAAUCAGGUGAGAUUAAGGUUAAUUAUAUCUUUUAAGCCAAUAUUUUUCAAACAUCAGCAUUUCAAUGUGUAAUAAAUCUAAAAAUCAAUGAGAUAGUUUACAUUCUUUUCUCUUGUACUAAGUCACCAAAGCAGGUGUGUGUUUUGCACCUCCAGCCUUUCUCCACUGCAACCAGCCAUGUUCUAGGUGCUCAGCAGCCCUGUGUGGCUAGUGGCUACUGUAUUGGACUAUGCAUAUAUAAAACCGUCUAUCCUCACAGAAAAUUCUAGUGGACAGUGCAGGUGUAGAGCUAGAGGGCAUGGGUUUGAGUCCCCAUUCCACCACUGUGUGGAAGUUCUUAACCUUGGGGAAGGUUCUUAACCUCUCAGAGCCUCAGUUUCUAGUAAAGUGAGGAUAACCAUUGAAAUACCUAGUGUCCACAUUGGAUUUAUAUAACUACCAAGGCUGCUGCUUCUACUCACGACUUUUGUGUUGAGAGCUCCUACUUCCUCCUGGGUGCUGUGCACGUAUUAUUUUUAAUUCACACAGUGAUGACCUCUCAGGUACGCAUUUGGAUCCCCAUUUCACAGAUGUGGAAACUGAGGAUCAGAGAGGAGUGACUUGCCCAAGGUAAUACAACUAGUAUAACAGCCAAGUCAGGGUUUGAGGCCAGACUUAGGUGAUUUCAAAGUUCCUGUCUUCUUCAGUGCCUUACUUACUUUAUUUAUUUAUUUUUAUUUUUUAUUUUUUGUCUUUUUAGGGCCACACCCGCAGCAUAUGGAGAUUCCCAGGCUAGGGGUUGAAUUGGAGCUGUAGCUGCCUGCCUACACCAUGGCUCGCGGCAAUGCCAGAUCCUUAACCCACUGAGUGAGGCCAGGGAUCGAACCCAUGUCCUCGUGGAUAUUAGUUGGGCUCAUUAACCACUGAGCCACAGUGGGAACUCCCACUCAGUGCCUUACUUUAAAUUUAGACACCUAAGCUAUGCUAUGCAAAUGUUGGCUAGUUAUAGGGGUACAAAUGCAAAUGCCUCUAAGGACCUGGUGGGUGGCAUAAACAAUAAUGUUUCGGGUGCCAGGCAGGAGGGCGUGAUGGAAACAUAGUGAAGUGGAGACUUGUGUGCCAGACUGAUUUUUUUUUUUUUUUUGCCGAACCUUGGCAUGUGAAAGUUCCCAGGCCAGGGAUCGAACCCAUGCCACAACAGUGACACGAGGCUGCUGCAAUGACAACAUUAGAUUUAACCCACUGCACCACCUGGGAAUUACAUAGACUGAUUUUAAAAUCUCCAAGCUGGACAAAUGAAACACACCCUAGGAGAGUUGGCCCAUGGGCCACCAAUUUGAGUAGGAACACGUCAAUCUCUUUUGAUAUUUUGGAAGUUACUAGUAGAAUAUUCACAUGAGUCACUGGAGAGCUGAUUAAAAUACAGGCUCUGACUCAGAGUGUUUGGCAUAGGGCCUGAGAUUCUGUAUUUCUCGUAGGCUCCCAGGUGACACUGCUGUUCUCUGAGCUACACCCUGAGUCACAAGGUGCUGGGGAAUGAUAUGGGGCCAGUAUCCCAUGUGACAAAUGAGGAAACUAAGUCACAGAGCUCUUAAGUAAUAGAAGUGGGAUUCAGUUGUGCUGUGUUCUCAGGCACAAUGUACUGCAAGCUUAGAGAAGGGGAUCUUUGAGGAGGGGGAGUGUACCAGGGAUCAGAUCCAAGCCACAUUUUCAACCUAUGCCAUAGCUGUAGCAACAGUGGAUCCUUUAAACCACUGUGCUGGCCUGGGGAUUGAACCUGGGUCUUGGCUCUGCCGGGAUGCUGCCGAUCCCAUUGCACCAUUGAGCUCCCAGAGCAGGGGGGAUCUUGAAGUUCCCCUUAGUUCACUCUGCGGAGGCUGAAUGAAAUCCUGAGGUGAUGGGUGGGGAGACAGUGGCCAUCCGCAAGUGGCUUUUAUAGCAGAUGCCCCACCCAUAUCCUGCCUAACUUACUGCUUCAGUGCACACCAGCCACCCAACUGCCACCCUGUGUCUUUCCGCCUGAGGGCUCCUCUCUUGCUCUUGGCACCUGCUUUGCCAGCCUGCAGCAGACCUGCCAUGCUGGAGGAGUAGCAUAUCCUGGGAGCAGCCCUUAACCAAGGACUGAUGAAUACCCGACUCCCGCACCCCUUACCCAGUGAUCACUGGUGGGAUAAUUCAUGGUGCCUGCCCCACCCGUGCUGGCUCCCAGAGCACCCCAGCAGGACUGAGCUCCAGUUGCCCACAGGGGCCAUUUGCUCGAUGACACCUCCCCGCCUCCCUUAUUCAUGUCCCUGCCAGUGCUUCCUGGGACUUGCCACAGAAACCACUUGCACUCAAAUUGUUGCCUUGGAGUCUGCCUGUGAGGUGGGGGUAGGCUGAACUUGGCCUCUGGUGCAGCGGACUGACAGGCAGCUACAUACCUCUGUACCAGGGGACAGAGCCUUUGGAGCCAGAGUGUCUGGGCUUCCUGGCCCUGCUCCCUCCUUGGGCAAGUGACCUAACUAUUCUGGGCUUCCAUUUUGUCAUCUGUAAAAUAGGCAUUGUAAUAGUGCCCACCUCAUAGGCUGGUUGGGAGGAUUAAGUGACAGGAUGCAUAUAAAGUAAGCACUCGAUAAAUGUUGGCUGCUAUUUCCAAAAUAUCAUCCAAACGGAAAAGAGAGCGUGGUCCUGAGGGCUGCGUACACCCUGCUUGUAGCCUGUCCUACCCCGUCCCCCGCCAGCCGAAGGUACAGCCUUGGCUGCCUGCCUGCCCCACGUCCCCCUCUGCCGCUGGGGGUUGGCGAGCUCCACCACCGACUGUCUCUGCUCUCUAAGAAUAGGUUCCCCUCACAGAUGGCAUCUCUCUGGAUCCUGCCAAAGCAUCUGGUGCCUCCAAAUGCUCCCUCCAGGGAUGAUGGCGGUGUGGUCCUCGUGCAGGGGCAGAGCUCUGGCUCCUGGGAGGAGUCCCCACUCUGUAAGAGCUGGAAAAUGGGCAUUGCCAGAGGGCCCUUGGCACACAGUCGCACCUGCUACUUUUUUUUUUUUUUUUUUUUUUUUUUUUUUUGCUUUUUAGGGUCCCACCCAUAGCCUAUGAAAGUUCCCAGGCUAGGGGUCGAAUUAGAGCCACAGCUGUCAGCUUAUACCACAGCCACAGCAAUGCCAAAUCCUAGCCAUGUCUGCAACCUGCACCUACAGCUCAUGGCAACGCUGGAUCCCAGACCCACUGAGCGAGGCCAGCGGUUGAACCCACAUUCUUAUGGAUAGUCAUUGGAUUUGCUUCUGCUGUGCCACAACGGGAACUCCACCUACUACAUUUCCAUGAGGUCUGUGACAUGCAAAGCUGUAAACAAAAAUUUUAAAGUAGGAACUCCCUUCUGGCACACUAGGUUGAGUAUCUGGCAUUGUCACUGCUGUGGCUCAGGUCAGUCUCUGGCCCAGGGUCCUCUACAUGCUACAAACGUGGCCAAAAAAAUUUUGUUUUAAUUUUUAAAAGAUCAAUAAUGUAUACACAUAGUGUGGAACUUAAAUGGUACAAAAAGUAUAUAAGAGGGAAGAGUCAAGCUCCCCCUACACCCCACCUCCACCUACCCACCCCUCAUAAGGGGCACUUACUGUCGGUACCUUCUUUUUCUUUUUUGGCCAAACUGCAGCAUAUGGAGUUCCUGGGCCAGGGAUCAGAUCUAAGCUGCAGUUGCAGUGAUGCUGGAUCCUUAACCCACUGUGCUAGGCCAGGGAUCCAACUUAUCUCCCAGCAGUUCCAAGACACUGCCAGUCCCCUUGCACCACAGCAGGAACUCCUUAGCUCUGUUUUUUUUUUGUUUUUUGUUUUUUGUUUUUUUGCCUCUCCAUGUACUGGCUUGAUGUGGGAUCUCAGUUCCCAGAUUAGGAGGCUGAACCCAAGCCAUGGUAGUAAAAGCACUGAAUCCUAGCCACUAGACCACCAGGGAACUCCCAAGAAACUUUCAUAUGGCACUGUCAUCUUGAGAACUCUCUGACAUCCCCUGCACGUUGGGUUUCUCUUUGAUCAAGACUCACAUCAAAAGUGAGUCCUUUCUUUGGGCCAAUUCCCACCCUGCACAAUCCCCCCCGCCCCGAAAGUCCCCAGAUAUCUCGGGCAGAUCCUUACUGUGAUCAUCAUGAAGAAACACCCUAGAUGUCUUGAGCCUUGUCGGAGCAGACGCCCAACACUCAGGCCCACAGGACUCCAAGUGAAAGGGAAAGGACGAAACUGAAGUUAAUUUGGGGCCCUUCUGCUGCUCUGCUCCCAAAUUAGAGGUCGUUCAGGGAACCCAUGAGAGAGCAAUGAUUCACAGGCUGAGGUGCCAAGAAGCCACCGCCUUCUGUGAUGCUCCAAGCUUCCCUCCUUCCACGUUUCGGCUCCAGAAAGGAUCCUGGAGGUGGUGUUUCUGGCUGCAUUGUUUGCUUCUCCCACUCCCGUGAGUGUGUUUUGGGUUUAUAAGAAUCAGGCUUUAAAUCUGACACCCCGCCCCCCACCCCCCAAAGCCAGCACACUGGCCUGGGCUCCACCUCCUGGAGCCAACAGGUUGUGACUUCAGAUGGGUGGCUUUCUGUGACGAAUUAGAGGCUUUAUAAAAAGACGUGUUCUUUUCCCCCUCCCCUUGUUCCAGAUUCAUAGGGAUUGAACGGGUCUUCUUUCAGCUUUGAAAAGCAUUUCAGGCAAACUAUUGCAUUUGUAGUGGAAAAGAAAUGAGAUCCUGCUGUAUAGUACAGGGAACCAUAUCUAACCACUGGUGAUGGAAUGUGAUGGAGGAUAAUUUGAAUAAAAGAAUGUAUAUAUGUGUAUGACUGGGUCACUUUGCUGUACAGCAGAAAUUGACAGAACAUGCUAAAUCAACUUUAAGAACAAAUUUUUAAAAAAAGAGGAGUUCCUGUCACAGCACAGCAGAGACGAAUCUGACUAGGAACCAUGAGGUUGCAGGUUCGAUCCCUGGCCUCGCUCAGUGGAUUAUGGAUCUGGCGUUGCCGUGAGUGUGGUAUAGGUUGAAGACAUGGCUUGGAUCUGGCUUUACUGUGCCUGUGGUGUAGGCUGGCAGCUAUAGCUCCGAUUGGACCUCUAGCCUGGGAACCUCCAUAUGCCACGGGUGUGGCCCUGAAAAGACAAAAAGACACCCCCCCCCCAAAAAAAAGGAAAUUAAAAAAAGAAAGAAAGAAAAGCAUUUUAGGUGAGAGAGUUUUAAUUUGAACCAGAGGUCUCCCUUAGGACCCACUCUUGUGAGCUGGAGGCUGCAGGGGCCCAGCUAGAGGAUAGAGGGAAAGCUGGGCUCUCUUCCAAGUAUUGUUAUUUAAAAAAACAUUUAAAAAAAAAUUUUGGCUACACUUGCGGCAUAUGGAACUUACUGGGCUAGGAAUCGAACCUGCGCUACAGCAGCGACCCCAGCUGCUGUAGUGACAAUGCCAGAUCCUUAACCUGCUGCACCGUAAGGGAACUCCUGACUGUUGUUUUUAUAGAGGGCUCCCUACUUUCUGUUACAGGUCUCUGUGCUCAUGACUUAUCUAAACAAGACAGGACCAACCUGAAAUGCAGGUUGUGGGGUCUCUCUCAGAAAUCUUGUUCCUCCUGCUCUUCCAGGCUCCCCUUUCAGCCUCUCCUCAUGGGCUGGAUGUCAGCUGAGAAAGGGAUCAAGGUCAGACGACAUCAGUUCUUUAAAGACACUCCUUGUUGAGGUGUCCUUUUUAGGUGUGUCAUGAGCCGUCGCAUCUGGUGGAGCCUAUGGACCCUGCUUAGAAUACUGCUUUUAAAACCCAUAAAACAGAGGAGUUCCCUUCAUGGCUCAGCAGUUAAUGAAACUGACUAGCAUCCAUGGGGAUGCAGGUUUGAUCCCUGGCCUCACUUAGUGGGUUAAGGAUCCCGCAUUGCCAUGAGCUGUGGUGUGGGUUGUAGACGCGGUUCAGAUCUGGCAUUGCUGUGGCUGUGGUGCAGGCCGGCAGCUGUAGCUCCGAUUUGACCCCUAGCCUGGGAACCUCCAUAUGCCGCGGGUUCGGCCCUAAAAAGCAAAGC